rnacentral:rRNA from 1 species
GACGAACGCUGGCGGCGUGCCUAACACAUGCAAGUCGAACGGGGUAAAGAGCUUCGGUUUUUUACUUAGUGGCGAACGGGUGAGUAACGCGUGAAGAACCUGCCUUUCAGUGGGGGACAACAGUUGGAAACGACUGCUAAUACCGCAUGACACUGAUGAGGGGCAUCCCUUAUCAGUCAAAGCUUAAUGUGCUGGAAGAUGGCUUCGCGUCUGAUUAGCUAGAUGGCGGGUAACGCCCACCAUGGCGACGAUCAGUAGCCGGUCUGAGAGGAUGAACGGCCACAUUGGGACUGAGAUACGGGCCCAGACUCCUACGGGAGGCAGCAGUGGGGAAUAUUGGGCAAUGGGGGAAACCCUGACCCAGCAACGCCGCGUGAA